GGUCUAGUAGUGUAGAGGUUAUCACAUGGGAUUUUGAUGUCAACUUCCCAUAACCCAGGUUCGAGUCCUGGCUUGACCU
rnacentral:tRNA from 2 species